rnacentral:rRNA from 1 species
UACAGAGGUGGCAAGCGUUAUUCGGAAUUAUUGGGCGUAAAGGGCGCGUAGGCGGCUUGGCAAGUCCAGGGUGAAAUCCCUCAGCUCAACUGAGGAACUGCCCUGGAAACUGCUUGGCUCGAGGCCGGGAGAGGGUAGCGGAAUUCCCAGUGUAGCGGUGAAAUGCGUAGAUAUUGGGAGGAACACCGGUGGCGAAGGCGGCUACCUGGACCGGUUCUGACGCUGAUGCGCGAAAGCGUGGGGAGCAAACAGG